rnacentral:rRNA from 1 species
UACGUAGGGCGCAAGCGUUGUCCGGAAUUAUUGGGCGUAAAGGGUGCGUAGGCGGUUUUGUAAGUCUUGUGUGAAAUCUUCAGGCUCAACUUGAAGACUGCACGAGAAACUGCAGGGCUUGAGUGUGGGAGAGGUGAGUGGAAUUCCUGGUGUAGCGGUGAAAUGCGUAGAUAUCGGGAGGAACACCAGUGGCGAAGGCGGUUGCCUGGGGCUUUGCUGACGCUGAUGCGCGAAAGCGUGGGGAGCGAUCCGG